GAUUGAUGACGUAGGUUAAUUAGCUUUUCAAUGCUGUAGAAAACUCUCAGCCUACCACAUCUCUUAGCAACAAAGUUUGCAGAUUUAGAGAUCCCUCGUGAUUCAGGUAAUCUUUAACUAGAGUUAGGAAAAGGUAAGAUACCGCAAGCGUUUCAAUUCUCCAAUUAAUGGUGGAAGUUCAUGGAUACGAUAUUCACUAAAGCUGAGCACCCUCAAGCAUUUUAGCUUUGGCAACAACUCGAGGGGAACAUGGCUUGUCAAAUUGUGUCCUCCUCCAUAUUUUGUUAACGAAAAUGGUAAGAAUGUUCGCAAAUGUUUGACUUUGUGGAAGUUCUCAAACUUUUUGAUCCCAUCUAAAUUGUCUUGUAUGUAAGAUAAAUGUCGAGCUGUUAUCAGUUUUUUAUAUUGCUCCUUGUAUCAUCAUCUAAACAAGUUUGUCUUUGACAAACAGAUUGAGCCAAAUCAUUGAUCAGAUAUGCAUCACAAAUUGAGACUUUUGUCAUACUUGGUUGGAAAAAGGAUCUCGGACAAACAGAUACGGAAAGUACAGCCUCCUAAAUCUUCCAGUUUCUUCAAGCGUUUCUUGUUGAAAAAUUUAAAACCUUCCGCCAUCCCACAACAAGACAACUCUUCUUCUUCAAAUUCAUAGUACCUUUGGCAUAUGGACACAAAUGCAAAGCACGCUCAAAUGUCGAAGGGAGGAUGAUGGUAGCUUAACCUCAGGCUGGAAGGAGUCACUUCACUUAAUUCCAUAUUUGCUUAUUCAAAACAUUUUUCCAUUCAUUUCUCUGGUCUACAUGUUAAAAGGCCCACCAAGGGGGUCCUAGCAGCCAAGGACAACCCUCUACAUUUAUUCACAAUUUUCGUGGGCCCAAUUGAUUCCAAUUUGGAUUUGUGUUCGUACUAAUUCCGAAAUGCAUGUUUGUGAAAAUAUGGACAACAUUCUUCCUGUGGUAGACAUUCCAAGGUAGGCAUUGAACCAUUUACCAUCGUCGUCGAUUGCCAACUUCUGUAUAACGUGUGUUCACAAUCACUUUACAUCCUGGGACUCCAUUCUUGAAGGGGCUCUCUCAAAAUGUUGCCACUCAUUGUAUUUUAUAUCCCAACAUCAUCUAGAACAAUUAAAAAACUUUUUUCCAAGCCAAAGUGGAGCUUAGUUGUCUGAAGUUGGUCCAAAGUUUCUAGCCAUUAGAAUCAACAUGGGACAUAGCCAGCAAUUUCUUUUGUUUAUCCUCAUAAUAUCAAAUUUAUCAGAGACACAUAUCCAAGCUUCAAAUCAAAAUUUUCUUCCACUACUUCAUCAUUAUAUACCACUGAGCAAGGGUGGUCUUGCACAAUACCCCCCAUACCUGUAAUUGGGAAUUAUGCCAAAGUCUGGUCUCCAUUCGGAGUAAGUUAAUUAUCUCUCUUUUACUCUUGUCCCUACCAAUAUUGCAAGGCUCAUAUGUUGCAGAUGUAGGUAGGGGUCUUCCCGAUCUUGCAUAGGCUUCUUAGAAAAUCAAACCCUGGAAAGCCAAGUGUACUAAUUUUUAUGGAAAUAUCUUGCAAUCUAGUGGUUAUCUUAUUUACCUCAGACUUCUUGGAAUCAAAAAUGGCAUCGCCUGGAUUGGGGUGCGUAAAAGUAGAGAAGUACGCACUAAUCUUAUAUUGAGGCUUUUCAAUCAACUCGUAGCGUAAAACUUCGGUGGAAAACUCAUCCAGUAGGUCAUCAAGAUCAUAAGCAAGGUCCUGGAGUUCCUCCAACCACAAAUUCACAAGUUUGCUUGUGAUUUGCUCUUCCUCUGCAUCAUCUAGUACUGCCCAAAUUUCUUUCAAUGUUGUCUCCCAAUUCCUCACUUGAGUACGAAUUGACUCCCGACGAAAAAAGUACAACAUUUCACGGGAAGCCAACUUGUCGAACACUACUUGAAGGAAAGCACCGAGAGCGAUUUCAACCAAGGCCACCAUUGUUUCCUAGUGAGAAAGAAAAUAAUAAAUAGUGUUAUGUCAAACAAAAAAACAAACAAAAUAACAAAAUAUCAAGAAAAUUGGUUUGCUCAAUGGAAUUUUUGUUGCCUCCAUUUGUUAUCUCUACCCAAAUGGGGAAUACAUGAGCAAAAUGGUCUACAGUCUAUAUUAAAAUUGUGUAAGAUAAGUGUCAUGUAAAAUGCAAAGAUUGUAUUAAACAAGGCUACCAGUAGACGAAUUGAGACCCUCCGAUCUAUUCAACAUGAUCGCUCACAGUAUACGAACAUUGAAAAAUUAUAUCAAUUCCAAAAUUUUGUUAUGUAGUAAGGAUGCAUAAAUGAACAAACCUACUUUGUGACUCUAUGGUUUUCAAACUCGAUAAUUUUUUUGAGUCAAACUCUUAACUUUAUUUAAACUCGUUUAAGGUCAACAAAAAUGAUAAAAAAGAGAAGCUUGGACACAUUAUGAAUUUUGAAACCAAACUUGAACGAAUUACAAUUCACUCUGACUUACACUAUUAGCCGAGAGACUUUCACAGUGUAAUUUAUUCUCU
rnacentral:lncRNA from 1 species